GUUUUACUCCAUGUGUAACUCUGUUGUUUAUUUGUGUCUCACUGCUUUGCUUUAUCUUGGCCAGGUCACAGUUGUAAAUGAGAACUUGUUCUCAACUAGCCUACCUGGUUAAAUAAAGGUGAAAUAAAAAAUGUGUUAGUUCAAACCACAUUGUAGAACAGAAAAAAGGCAAAUGGUAGCAGAUAAAAUAUUAAGCUGGUUAAAUAAAACUGUUCUUUAGCCAUUCCUCUGUCCCCAACAUAAUGUCUGUAUUUCAAAAUGGAUGUUUGGAAGUUCUACACCAUUUCAUUCAGGAUAAUCUAUUCUUUCUAAUGAUGUAAAUGUGGGUAGCAUAGUAUGCUGUUAAAAUUUCAAAAAUUGUAUUUUCACUCAUGGAACUCAGGAGGUCGUCCCAUUGUUUCCUAUAGGGGUAUGACUGUCUUAUUUCACCAAAAAUCUCAGAAUGUGUAUAUUUAGAUUUUUUUUUUUCAAGUCAGACACCACUUUAAUCAGGAGAAUCUCAUCUUUGUAAUUAUGUAAAUCUGGACAGAGAGCUCGGUUGUCAUCGAUCAAUAGACCAGAAAAUAGUCAGAAUUGUUCAUGUUUUCCCUACUUCCUCAUUACGCAGACAUGCGCGCAGUUUACACUAUCGAGGGGUGGAUGUUUACACAAGUUGUAUUUUUUUCUUCCAGUUUUGUCCAAACAGAUUGUAGUGGUAAAAUGAAAAAGGGAUUAAAAAAUGUUGUGAUAUUUAAGGGAAAUGGGAAUUCUAAGCAUCACUUCAGUCAGAAGAGACUCUGUGAAGGUUUGUUUCAAUUCAUUUGCCGUCGUUCCAGCUCAGCCAACGUUCUUUGGCUGUUUUUCAGCCUUGGGUGAAUUUUUAACUUGUUCUAUUGUCCAGCCUAAUAUUUGCCAUAUUCUAAUAUGUCUCUUGUGUCAAUGUAUCGCCGCUGUCCAUGGUCGCCACGGAGGAAACUUCCUGUAGAUCUGAUUAUAAUUGGAUGGUGAAACUUUCCAGCCAGCCAGAAAAACAAGGCGAAGCAAUUCAGGCAUUGUUGGAAGUCAGGGCAAUAUUUUUUUUUAACUAUUAAAAAAUAAUGAUUUUUGCAAGAAGUAGAACAUUUUAGAAUUAAAUGUGGAGUGGAACUUAUUGUUACGUGAUAAAAUCACGUGCCUUGCGUACCUUCAGAAGUAUGUGGAAAUCCUAAUUUAUUGUCGCAAUAAAGAAAGUUUGGCAAAAUAAAAAUUCCUCCCGUGAAAUGGAUAAAAAUGUUGUCGAUCUUUAGAACAUUGCUUCCGUUUCCGAUGUUGCAAUGAUUUGUUGUUGUUGUUGUCAUUGCUUUUUGUGGAAUAAACCCUGGGUGAAUGGUAACUUACCUAGUGUCUUGUACUAGUAGCUUUGAGUCUUCGGGUCAGUGCCAACAGGCAGAUAUUAAUUAGUAAUGCUGUACAGAACUGAUGAUGUUUCUGUAUACGUUUCUUGUUUUCUAUAUGAUACGACGCAUAAUGUUCAGCGGCAUGGUGCAGCCCCAGGCAGACAUACCCCUGCAGUGGGAGAUGGCAGGGGACGAGGGUGGCGUGCAGCCCCAGGCAGACAUAGCCCUGCAGUGGGACGAGGGUGGCGUGCAGCCCCAGGCAGACAUAGCCCUGCAGUGGGACGAGGGCGGCGUGGCUCUUCAGGUUCCCGCUGAGCUGGCAGCCAAUGAGGUGGUGUCUAGACUACUGGGAGACAACCAGCAGCUCCGAGAGGCGUUGCAGCGUAGUAACCAGGCCCUGCGUGAGCGCUGUGAGGAGAUGGAGGAAUGGCAGCGGAGAUCUAGAGAAGAGAGGGAGUUCCUCAGCUGUCGUUUCCAGGAGGCCCGAGCGCUAGUGGAGAGACUGGCCAUGGAGAACCACAGCCUUACCAGCCUGGCCAGCUCCUCUAGCCCCUCCAACCCUGGACCGAACCAAGGCCUGCUAGUCAACGGCCCCAGCCAUGGCUCGGAGACCAACGGACCUAUGGCAUCCUCUCUGCCCGCAGGAGGAGGUAAAGACUUUGUCCAGCUGCUGAAGAGCCACAAAGAGAAGUUGGAAGAAGUGAUGAGAGAUCUGAUGAGGAGGAAUGAAGAGCUGGAGAAAAAGAGGGAUGAGGGAGAGAGAGAGAGAGACUGCCUUCGUCGCUCGGUUGAGCAACUCCGAACCAAACUGAGUGGUGGCGUUACCGAGGAAACGGUUCAGCGUUCCGAUGCCGCGCCCUCCUCUGACAGCUCCCACCUGGCCAAACUCACAGAGCAACUUCAAGCCACACAGGGCAGGUACAGAGAGCUGCAGGAGAAGUUAGAUUCCCUCCAGAAGACUUCAGCUCAGAGAGACAGAACUGAAGUGCUGCUGAAACAGAAGGACAAGGACUGUACCCAGCUGGCUAAGGACGGCGAGGCGCUGAAGGCCCAGGUAACAUCUCUCCUGGGAGAGCUGAGAGAGAGGCAGAACUGUUUGGACCGGAGCCAGCAGGACCGCAACAUAUUGGACGAUAGGCUGAGCAGUACUCGGGAGGCGUUGGCAGCAUCAGAGAGAGAGAUGGAACAACAGAGGAAGCAGCACUCUGUGACCGUAGACAAACUACUUCUGCAGACACACAACCUAGAGACCGCCCUGAAGACUGACCGCCUGGUUAUCACUGAAGAGAGGAGGAAGCUAGCCCAGCUGCAGCACGCCUACACCUGUCUCUUUAAGGACUACGACUGCAAACUAAAGACUGAGGGAGGAGACAUGGUUGUUCGUCUGGAGGAAGCAGAGAGAGCGUUGGCUCUGAAACAGGACCUGAUUGACAAGCUGAAGGAAGAGGUGGAGCAACACAGAGGAUCUCUAGAAACCGUCCCUGUUCUCACCGCCCAGGCUGAGAUCUACAAGGCGGACUUCCUAGCGGAGCGGGAGGCCAGAGAGAAGUUGAACCAGAGGAAGGAGGAGCUUCAGGACCAGCUGAACAGAGCGCUGGCAGAGAUGGAGCGUCUGAAACAGGAGGAGGCGUCACGGUAACACACACCACACACAGCGCUGGCUGAGAUGGAGCGUCUGAAACAGGAGGAGGCGUCACGGGCUCGGAUGGAGAAGAUGCAGCAGAGACACCUGGAGGUCUUCAGACCACCACGACCCCACAUCACCCCACAACCAGAUUUUUAGAAACAGGAGUUUGGCCACUCUGGGGCUUCAGACUCAUGUGAUGGUACCUGGAGAGACGGCCAGUGUCUUCAGACUCGUGAUGGUACCUGGAGAGACGGCCAGUGUCUUCAAACUCAUGUGAUGGUACCUGGAGAGACGGCCACUCUGGGGCUUCAGGCUCAUGUGAUGGUACCUGGAGAGACGACCAGUCUGGGGCUUCAGGCUCAUGUGAUGGUACCUGGAGAGACCACCAGUCUGGGGCUUCAGGCUCAUGUGAUGGUACCUGGAGAGACGGCCACUCUGGGGCUUCAGGCUCAUGUGAUGGUACCUGGAGAGACGGUCAUUGGUGUUUGUUCUUCACUGGUUGCCCUUUUCUUGUGGCAACAGGUCACAAAUAUUGCUGCUGUGAUGGAACACUGUGGUAUUUCCCCCAAUCGAUAUGGGAGUUUUCGAAAACAACUCCAGUUUUGGAAUUCUUGGUGGAUCUGUGUAAUCUGAGGGAAAUAUGUGUCUCUAAUAUGGUCCUACAUUUGUCAGGAGGUUAGGAAGUGCAGCUCAGUUUCCAUCUCAUGUUGUGGGCAGUGUGCACAGCCUGCCAGGUCUGCCUACGGCGGCCUUUCUCAAUAGCAAGGCUAUGCUCACUGAGUCUGUACAUAGUCAAAGCUUUCCUUAAGUUUGAGUCACAGUGGUCAGUUAUUCUGCCAAUGUGUACUCUCUGUUUAGUGCCAGAUAGCUAGCUAGCUCUCGCUCAUAGUAAAUAAUACAACUAAAGAAAAAUGUAUAAAACAACAAUAAAAUGGUAACAGUCAAUAUUAGAAAUAUAAUAAACAUAAAAGACUAAACAUAAGUCAGUUAUUGCUUACUAUGCAGAUGUUAUUAUCCAGUGUCCCUCGGGCUAUGUUGCUCCUUCGCCCAUGAGUACUUUUUUCCUUUGGCUUCAAUAAGUUACUAUUUGUAAUUAUUUUUUACAUCUUAGUCAUUUAGCAGACGCUCUUAUCCAGAGCGACUUACAGUAGUGAAUGCAUACAUUUAAUUUAAUUUCAUGCAUUUAAAUUUUUUUUGUACUGGCCCCCUGUGGAAAUCGAACCCACAACCCUGGCGUUGCAAACACCAUGCUCUACCAACUGAGCCACAGGGAAGACUAAUAAAUAAAUGUAAUAAUGUAAUAAUAAAUGUAGUAAUCUCUGUCUCUCUGUCUCAUAUCCCCAGGGAAUACCUUUAACACUUCCUCGCGCAGCGUGGGAUUGUCUGCAGAGGGAGUGGCCGGAGGCGGGGCUGAAGAGCUUCCUGACUACCGCUGUCCAAAGUGCCAGUACCAAGCCCCCGACAUGGACACCCUGCAGAUACAUGUCAUGGACUGUAUCCAGUAACACACACACACACACACACACACACACACACACACACACACACACACACACACACA